rnacentral:piRNA from 1 species
UGCAGAAUAUUAUUUAUAUAA